AUAGGGAUAAUACUUACAAUUCCUUGUGAGGAUUAAUAAAAGAAAUGUACAUAAAUUGCUUAGCACAGAGUAUGGCAUAGAGAAAGCACUCUAUCAAUAUUAUUAUUUAUUUGACCCAAGUCUCAUUUUCUUUCUUAAAUUCCUUAGUACCUUUUUGUUUUCAGAACAAUUCAUAUAAUCAGGGAAAAAAUCUUCCAAGCUCAUUCGCAUGGCUGUCAGCAGGGGGCUUCAGUUCCUCACUGUGUGCGCCUCUCCACAGCACUGCUCACAGCAUAGCUUCUCCCAGAGCAAGAGAUCCAAGAGAGAGGGAAAUAGAAAGGAUGACUAGGACAGAAGGCAGAUUUUUAUAACCUUAUCCUGGAAGUGAAACGCCAUCAUUAGGCUAUUGGUCUCACAGACCUGGGAACAGACUGCACGAAGGUGUAAAUACAAGAAGGCAGGGAUCAUUGGAGGACAUCAUAGAGGCUGUGGAGUUUGAAAUAAUCAAAUCUUCUAAAUUGCAAAGCCAGUAACAAAUUAACAUAGUACCAUAGGCAGGGUUAUUUUUGUACAGCUGCAAAAACUUAUUCAAAUCAUUCAUAUUAUGUUGCAAAGAUUAAAAGGGAAAUAGCUAUUUAAAAAAAAAAAAACAGUAAAUAUCCAUGAGAAAUGUCAACUUGGAUUUUCUUCCUAACCCAAAAAUGAUUGAAAUGUUCUUCCUGCCCAACUUUCAACUCAUGGCAAUAGUUCGUUUUCAUUCUAAAAAUUCAAGACUUGACUCAGCAAACACAUCAGUGCCAAGAAAGCGAAUUUCCAAAAUUAUGUCUGUCUCUUUAUGGAGCACAGGCCAAACUUAAAGGAAAAAGAAUUUAGACCACAAAAUAAUCUGUCAUUUCUAGUCUUCAUACCAGCAUAUUGAAAUGCUGGGGUCUUCGACAUUUUAUAUAAGGCAUAAAAUUUAAGAAAAUACUUUCUAGAAUGCCUUAUUACCCAAGUCUGAAUUGAAAGAUGGUUUUUAGGCCGGGCACAGUGGCUCAAGCCUGUAAUCCCAGCACUUUGGAAGGUGGAGGUGGGCGGAUCGUUCGAGCCUAGGAGUUCAAGACCAGCCUGGGCAACAUGGCAAAAUCCCCUCUCUACCAAAAAUACAAAAAUUAGACAGUCUCAUAACCCAAUCUCAAAAUAAUAAAUAGAUAAAAAUUAAAAAUAAAAUAAAAUAAUAAAGAAAGAUGAUUUUUGCAUCACCAAAUCUUUACACUGAUUUCUCUCUAGUUUUUCCUUUGCAAUGAAAUGUCACUCAGACUUGGACUAAGAUUAAGUCAUAACUGACAGCUGUUGACUCUCUCAAGCUCUUCUCUGACCGUAUCAAGCCUGAGUAUCCUUAUUUUGCACAUUCUUCCUUAUGUAAGAUGCUUCUGAGGGAUGGUGGCAGUGGCUGGCAUGUACUAAUACAAAAUACUUCAAAUUAUAUUUUUGAGCUGGAAAUUCAAGAGAAACAAAUACCAGGCUGAAGUCAGUUGCUACUGAAUGAUGGAGAAUCUCCAUUCCAAAGGACAGUCUUUAUUUAUGGCUUCAUCCUAGGUUGGUGCCUUCAAAGUUGUCCUUUGCAAGUGUUUCAUCCCAGUUCUACUCUGAGUGCCAAGAAGCCAGGAACAUUUGGUGAACUCGGCUAUGUCUCUCUGCACUGGUGGUGACUUUUUGCUGCUCCUCCCUAGACAACCCCUAUGUGACAUAAGAUGAUAUUGUAAAAGUCAUAAGAUAUUCACGAAUUAAGCAAACCAUCACCAAUACCUUAAAUGAUGUAAUUACUUAUAUAUAGCCAUUUUUUAAACGGAGUGGGAUGAGGGAUGCUAAGAUGUAGGCCAUACAAAAUUUAUUUAAAAGAUCUUUUUUGGGCCAGGCAUGGUGGCUCAUGCCUGUAAUCCCAGCACUGUGGGGAGACGGAGGAGGGUGGAUCACUUGAGGACAAGAGUUCAAGACCAGCCUGGCCAACAUGGCAAAAUCCUGUCUCUACUAAAAAUACAAAAAAUUAGCCAGGUGUGGUGGUGUGCUCCUGUAAUCCCAGCUACUCAGGAGGCUGCAACACGAGAAUCACUUGAACCUGGGAGGCAGAGGUUGCAGUGAGCCAAGAUGGCACCACUGCACUCCAGCCUGGGUGACAGACUGGGACUCUGUCUCAAACAAACAAAAAAAAGACCUUUCUCACUAAUGAGUUUGUCGAUGGCUAAAAAAUAUUUUGAUCAUGUUCUGGAGUUAAUUACCCUCACGUUUGACUUUGAACCAAACUCAAUUACAUACAAGAAUUAAUCGAAACACACUUAGCUUAAGGCACAGGUAAACCAUGAAGAAGACUUAGAAGCUGUGCAGUGUCAUCGUAAAUUAGCAGAAGCUUUAUUACCUGCCCUAAUUCAAAUUACAUGCUUUCACACUUGCUUUGUUCAAAAGGUACAACAGGUAGAAGGCAUCCUCAAAUGACAGCUUCACUCUCAGUGGUGUCUCUUACAGGUAUUUUCAAGCAGAAAUUGUGCACAUAUUACAAGUUAACAAGAAAUGGAAACCAUCUCAGCAGGUAAUCUUUCAAAUCCCAAUUCCAGGAAACCAAAAUGUCAAUUAAAGCACCCUGGGCUUUUUAGUGAUGCUCAAUACCUACUUAUAAAUGAUUGUGAUGUUAUAGGUUUUCUUUCCAUCUAACUUGUGCUUUAGGCAUCUCAACAUUGGAAAGGAGACCAUAGGUCAUCAUGGAGUCUAAUCCUUUGGCCCCACCACCAUCCCGCAGUGGCAUAUGUGAAAGGUUGUCAACAUCAUCACUUUGUUGUCACUGUCACCCUCAACCUACGAGGACUCCACUUGACUUCAUCCUGAAAACACACUUAGGUACAGGUAAGUAUGCUUUCAGUGUCCCAGAACAGCGUAUUCGAAACCAGAUCACGCCACCGCUCAGCUGGACCUGCCACCCUUAUAAUAAAAUCAAAACUCGGCCGGGCGCGGUGGUUCAUGCCUGUAAUCCCAGCACUUUGGGAGGCCAAGGCAGGUGGAUCACCUGAGGCCACAAGUUCACCACCAACCCGGCCAACAUAGUGAAACCUCGUCUCUACUAAAAAUACAAAAAUGAGCUGGGCAUGGUGGCACACACCUGUAGUCCCAGAUACUCAGGAGGCUGAGGCACAAGAAUCACUUGAACCCGGGUGGCAGAGGUUGCAGUGAGCCGAGAUCACACCACUGCACUCCAGCCUGGAUGAUAGAGUGAGACUCCAUCCUCCUGCCACUACCAAAUAAAAAAAAAAAAGAAACCUCAUCUCCAUGACCUGAAAGGCCCUACAGGCCUCCAUCUCCUGUUUGUGCCCGACUUGAGCCACAUUCAUCUGCUAGUUCUUCCUCAAACCUGCCACGUUCUUUGCCGCCUCGGUGAAUUGUUGGCACUGCUCCCUCUGCCCGCUGUCCUCUGCCCCCAGAUCACCAGGAGACCAACUCCUACUCAAAAUCCAGGUCCUGUCUCAAGUUUCUAACUUCCAGAGAGGCCUUCCCUGACCAGUGCAUCUAACACCUAUUGCAUUACCCAUUAUCUCUCAAAACUAGCUGUUAUUUUUUUCCGCAUUUAUUCACUCACAUGCCUAUUACGUGCCAUAUGUGUGCACACAAGAUGGUAAGCUUUAUAAUAAUAGCAGCUGAUCAAAGCUAAAGCUUACACUGUAUGGAAAAUUUACUAUGUGACAGGCUCAGUUCUAAGCACUUCAGUUUCUCACAAGCCUAUAAGGCAAGUAAGAAUAUUAUCCUCCUCUUACAAAUGAGAAAACUAAAGCACAAAGAGGUUAAGUAACUUGUCCAAGACACACAACCACUAAAUGGUAAAGCUGGGAUCCAAGUCUGGAAGUUUGUGGCUCUAGAAUCCACACUGAUAAGUAGGAAAUUCUGCCUCCUUCCCACAAGAGCAGAGACCUGCUCUGUCUUGCUCACUGCUGAAUCUCCAGGAGCCUAGAAUGCUUGGAAGAGAAGGCCAGGGGAGGGAGCUGACUGUCUCCUAGCCUAGGUGGACUUCCUUUUUCUCUCCUAUCAUACCCCAAAUACUUCCAACCCAGGGAUCCUAUCCCCCAUUCCUAACAGUAUCCUCAGUUCCAUCACUGCAAGUGUCAUCUGAAAUCCUACAAUGGGGUGACUCAGCUCAAAAUUUCUUUUUUUUUUUUUUUUUUCUUUUUGAGAUGGAGUUUCACUCUUGUUGCCCAGGCUGGAGUGCAAUGGUGCAAUCUCAGCUCACUGCAACCUCCGCCUCCCAGGUUCAAGCAAUUUUCCAGCCUUGCGUCCUGAGUAGCUGGGAUUACAGGCAUGCGCCACCACGCCCAGUUAAUUUUGUAUUUUUAGUACAGACGGGGUCUCAUCAUGUUGGCCAGGCUGGUCUCAAACUCCUGACCUCAAGUGAUCUGCCCUCCUCAGCCUACCAAAGUGCUGGGAUUACAGGUGUGAGCCACCACGCCUGGCUCAGCUCUUAAUUUCUUCAUUCACAAAGCAAUAAUUUCGAGGACUCAGAAAGCAUCUCUUCCUUCAUUCACUGAGCCCAACUAUCCAUCUCACUCACGUUUUUUUAAAAUUCUGGAAAAAGAAGUCAAGUUAGAAAGAACAGCCAAAGUUUUUUUCUUUUCUUCCCCCCCCCCGCCACCCCCCACAGCUACUCACAGAGAUAUCAAGAUGUCUGGAACAGAAAAUAAGGACUGAAUAUUAAACUCACCCAGUUCAAUUUUCUUAUAGUAAUUUACCAAAUAAGGCAUAACCUCAGCCUACAAGCCCUUCCUUCUACUCCAGCUUCUAUUUGGGUCAUAAUAUAUCUAUCUUCAAAUGAUCACAUUCCCGGGGUGGAAAAGUAGCCUGUUGCUUAAUCAAAACGUCAUCCAACAAAAACCAUUCUCGCAGUUAAAUUCCGUUUCCUUCAGGAGCAGUUGGCUGAAAGCUCGCUGGGACAUGUGGUUUCAGCUAUUCUUACUCUUCAGGGAAGUGCUAUUUUUCUUCAAAGCAACGUAGCCCAGCAACCCCAAGGAAACCUGAUUAACUUCUUUGGUGAUGUGCUAGUAAAACUCACUGUUGUCUUGCUUCAGGGAAUUUUAAUGGCAGCAUUUCUGUUUCAUUCAUUAGAACCUUGAAGUACCCAAAGAAAUGAAUAUCCUUUCUCUUUCUUUGUUCCUCAUUUUGUUUUCAGAAUGCAGGUCAGGAUCAGAAACUGGGAACCAUGUGACACCUCUGCAAAGAGUCGAUAGGUAGAUAAACUUGAUGGCUUGCAAUCCAAAGGGUGCUCAUAAAGGAAAAGCUUAGGUGUUAAUAGGACAUGCCAAUUACUCCAGUGUCGGGCUGCAUAGCUCAGAUGGCUCCAGCACCAGGCCAAGAGACCAAAAAUUCAGAAUCAGUCUUCUCAAUAAACUGUGAGCUCAGCAAUAUUCCAAUAUUAAGCAGCACCCUGGACUCCAGAGAGUCAUCUUGAAAGUAUGUGCGGGUGAUUAAAGAGGAACUGGCCUCUAGAGUGGGUCACUACAAACUGACCAUCAUUCCCGGAAAAGCUGCUGAGCACAUGGCCUUCAGCACAUGGCCUUGUCCCUGGGCAACCGACACAUCUGGAUGAGGGUGGGACAAGUGAACAGUGGUGGGAUUAAUUAUACAAGCAAACAGUGGUGGCUUUAAGGUCCAGCUUUUAAAAAGCUGGGGCCAAAAAGUUAGGUGUUUUAAAUUCUGGGUCAUGCCCCUUAUUAGCUGUGUGACACUGGACAAAUUACUUAGCCUCUCUAAGCCAUACUUUUGGAGAUCAUUUGAAAUAUAGCACAUAGGUAUAUGAAAAAUAAACAGGUAAUGGCUGGGUGUGGUAGCUCACGCCUAUAAUCCCAGCAUUUUGGCAGGCCAAGGUGAACAGAUUACCUGAGGUCAGGAGUUCAAGACCAGCCUGGCCAACAUGGUGAAACACCGUCUCUACUACAAAUACAAAAAUUAGCCACACAUGGUGGUGCACGCCUAUAAUCCCAGCUACUCGAGAGGCUGAGGCAGGAGAAUCGCUUGAACCCAGGAGGUGAAGGUUGCAGCGAGCCAAGAUCGCCCUACUGUGUACUCCAGCCUGGGCAAGAGACUGAGACUCCAUCUCAAAAAAAAAAAAAAAGGCAAGAUAGAGAAGUCAUUGUGACUUAGCACAGAGUUGCUUAUCAGUAGCUGAGGUGCAGACUGGUUAAAUGAUGGGUAUAUAUAAGAGAACUAGUUAGUACACAGGUCCCCUAAUGUUUGGUAUUGUGGAAGAGGCCCUGGCCUGAGAGUUGGAAUGCUCGCUUAUUAGUGCAAGCACAGCCACAGAUUAUAUAUGUGCUGUAGAGCUUACCCCGUCCAAUGUUUAUUCUACUUAAAUCUAAAUAAUUACAAUUAAAUGAAUUAAAAUGAAAUAGAAUUAGAAAUUUAAUUUCCCGGCCAGGUGCAGUGGCUCAUGCCUGUAAUCCCAGCACUUUGGGAGGCCAAAGCAGGCAGAUCACUUGAGGUCAGGAGUUCGAGACCAGCCUGGCCAGCAUAGUAAAACCCAGUCUCUACUAAAAAUCCAAAAAAAUUAGCUGGGCAUCAAGGCGUGUGCCUGUAAUCCCAGGUACUUGGGAGGCAGAGGCAGAAGAAUCACUUGAACCCGGGAGGCGGAGGUUGCAGAUCACGCCACUGCACUCCAGCCUGGGUGACAGAGUGAGACUCCAUCUCAAAAAAAAAAAAAAAGAAAAGGAAAGAAAAGAAAUUUAAUUUCCUAGUCACACUAGCCACAUUUAUUUCAAGAGCUCCGUAGCCAUGUGUGGCUUUUAGCUUCUAUAUUGGAUAGCUCCACUGUAGAACAUUUUAAACAUCACUGCAAGUUCUGUUGGACAGUACUGCUUUAGCAAGCAGGUGAACCUUUUGGCUCCCACUUCGGCUUUUUUGAGGAGUUGGUAAAAUAUGACCAUUAAGCAUAACUUUGGAGUUAUGCUGACUUCAGAUUCUGAUUCUGGUUUCUCAAAUCCUGCCUGACAUUGAACAAACAACUUGCCUUCAGUUUCAUCAUCUGUAAAAUUGAGAUAAUAAUAGCCCCUCACAGACUUAUAAAAUAUUAUAUGAGAGACUGUAUUAGAUAUAUGUGGUUAGUACUUCAUAUGGUUUGGCUGUGUCCUCACCCUUCUCAUCUUGAAUUGUAGCUCCCAUAAUUCCCACGUGUUGUGGGAGGCACCCGGUGGGAGAUAACUGAAUCAUGGGGGUGGUUUCCCCCAUAUUGCUCUGGUGGUAGUGAAUAAGUCUCACAAGAACUGAUGGUUUUAUAAGGGGAAACCCCUUUUGCUCGGUUCUUAUUUUUUCCUUUUGCCUGCUGCCAUGUAAGACAUGUCUUUUACCUUCCACCAUGAGUGUGCCGCCUCCCCAGCCAUGUGGAACUGUGAGUCCAUUAAACCUAUUUUUCUUUAUAAAUUACCUAGUCUCAGGUAUGUCCUUAUUGGCAGUGUGAGAACAGACUAAUACAGUAUUAAAUGCUCAAGAGAUAGCAUGUAUGUAUUUUACAUAGAGUUUAUCAUUUGUAUCAGGUCUCGUAAGUCGAGGCAUCUGUCUGCCUCCAGAGACCAAUCUCUUAAAACACUUUCUCCCCUUGCAGGGUUGGAGACUUUCACUAUGUAACUUAAAAUAAAACAGUGAAGGAAGAUUUUUCCUGCAGUGCCAUUUUGACCAGAGCUGGAUUUACUCUAACAAGUGCCUGCACCUCUUGGUCGAGUUCCCUGAGCAUCGGCCCUCUCCUGUGGCUUUGGGAAGAGGUCUUGACUUAGGAAGAAGGCUUCCAUGAUCCUCUCAGCCUGAGACUGGCCUGGGGUUUUAAUUCCCACCCUCUGCUUAUCUCUUGGCCGACAUUUGGGCAUGCCACAUGCCCCUUCUUUGGUGCAAGGUCUAUCAUCUGCAAGGUGCAUUUUACAGAAAAAAAGGCAGAGUCCUGCUCUUGACCUUUCUCCUUCUCACCAGGGAAAUGCUUCAUGCCAUCCACCCUGAGCAGAAGUCCAGAGACACCUGGGCAACUUCCAUGGUGCAUUUAAAAAGGGAAGAAAUGCCAGAAUACAGCUGUAAAAAUGAUGGUAUAUUUUAAAUAUCAAUACCUAAUAAAUCAAUGCUUUUAAUGCCUACAUAAUAUGCCACGUGGAGUGACUGCCAUUACGAGACAAUUAUGGUCUCAUAAAAAAUAUUAAUUAUCAGUGUCUUGUAUUGUAGAGUGUGUGGUCUGGUAAUAGGGCUCAUGUGUAACAUCGUAAUGAUUGUAUUGUCAUUUCAGUCACCAUUAUAGUGACUGUAUAUCUAAGCUCAGUAGGCACCAGUGCCAAAAAUCUACAUUUGAAGCCCUUUGUGACUGAUGCAUCCCAGGUACUAAAAGCUCUCAUGAGAGGUCCUGAGAGCACAAGUCCUGGCUUACUUCAAAAAAUAUAUAUUUUUGUUUGUUUGUUUCUUAACAGUAAGGAAAAUGAUUUUUUAUUUUUUUAUUUUUCUAAAGACAGGCUCUCCCUCCGUCACCUAGGCUACAGUACAGUGGCACAAUCAUAGCUCACUGCAACCUCCAACUCCUGGGCUCAAGGGAUCCUUCUGCAGCAGCCUUUUGAACAGCUGGGACCACAGGCUCAUGCUGCCAUGCCCAGGUUAUUUUUGUUUUUGUUGAAAUGGGGUCUUGCUUUGUUGCCCAGGCUGGGAAAAUGAAUAUUUUAAUGCAAGGGGUUUCUCAGAAUAGAGGAAAAGUUCAAGACACAUCAUAAAGUAAAACUUGUUUGCCUUCUGACAUAAAUAUUUGCUUUUCUUUAUAUGUGCAUAUAAUUUAUUUCUCUGGUCUUGCCUUCUGCUUCAGUAGUUACUGAUUUAUGAACCAAUGUUUAGUAGUGCUCUCCUUUGAAGCUGGGGAAAAUUAAGUGAAGUUCUUUUAUGUGAAUAAUGUGGAGUACAAUGAGACUCUCCGAGGCCUCUCUGUGAAAUGACUUUAAAACCACUGGUGAGCAUUUCAACUCUGGACUUUUCUGUCUUUUAAAAUUCACUCACAUAGUUUGGAUGAAAAGAAUUUCAACAGACAAUGAGAUUUAGAUAGCCUGAUUCUAAGUUUCGGUGCUCUUCUCCAAAUACAGUUUCUUUUUAGGUGAAUAUUAUGUUUUAAAAUUUUUUAAAAAUGAAAUUAGAGUUUGAUAGCAGUCUUUUAAAUAAGUCAUUUCCCCACCCCUCCUUAUCUCUCUCUCCCUCCCAAUUAUUCUGUCACUUAUUCACUGAUGCCCUGGCUAACACAGUCACUCAGCACUCCUCCUAGAGAGAACAUUAGUUGACAAUGGCCGCUUCCAGGGUGGGUAACUUUGCCAAAUUACUUAACUUCUUUAUGUUUCAGUUUUUUAUAUUUGUAAAAUGGGAAUAGUGAUGGUACUCACCCCAUAAGGUGAUUAUAAUAGUACAGUUUAUAAGUUGGUGGGAGGUUUGAAUGAGUUAAUGCAUCUAAAGUACUUGAAGUCGUACCUAGCACCCAGGAAGUACUCAUGUUGUCAUAUUUUACUCAUCAAAUAGUAAUUGAGUGCCUUCUUAAAAGGUAGUGUAGGCCGGGCACAAUGGCUCAUGCCUGUAAUUCCCAACACUUUGGGAGGCUAAGGCGGGUGGAUCACCUGAGGUCAGGAGUUCAAGACCAGCUUGGCCAAGAUGGUGAAACCCCAUCUCUACUAAAAAUACAAAAAUUAGCCAAGCAUGGUGGCAGGAACCUGUAAUCCCAGCUACUUGGGAGGCUGAGGCAGGAAAAUCACUUGAAGCCAGGAGGCAGAGGUUGCAGUGAGCCAAGAUUGUGCCAUUGCACUCCAGCCUGCGUGACAGAGUGAGACACCAUCUAAAAACUAUAUAAAUAGUGUGUUGGGUACUAGGAAUCUGGUGGUUAGUAGAAAGAUGCGGUUUUGCAUUCAUGGAUCCUCAAACACACCAUUUAUUUAUUAAAAAUUCUGUUGAUACUGGGAUGUAAGUGCUUCAUGGAACUGUGAUGACCAAUCUGCAUGUUCAUAUUUCCCCUCUCCUUCUUUUAAAACACGUUUAAUAUAAUAUUUUCAAAAUAAAAUGUGUGUGUGUGUGUGUGUGUGUGUGUGUGUGUGUGUGACAGGGUCUCACUCUAUCGCCCAGGCUGGAGUACAGUGUUACGAUCACCACUCACUGCAGCUUCAGCCUCCCCAGCUUAAGUGAUCCUCCCACUUCAGCCUUACUCUCGGGAGUAGCUGGGACCACAGGCAUGCACCACCAUGCCUUGCUAAUUUUUUUUUCUUUUUUUUUUUUUUUUUAGAGAUAGGAGUCUCACUAUGUUGCCCAGGGUGGUCUUGAACUUCUGGGCCCAAGUGAUUCUCCAGCCUCAACGUCCCAAAGUGUUAGGAUUUACAGGUGUGAACCACCAUGCCUGGCACAAAAUACCAUUUCAUUCUCAGAUUAAUUUUGUACCAUGGAGACAAGGGGAAGUUUUCUCUUUUCUUUGUAGAUGAAGCAACUUGAGGACAGAUAUUUGGAGGUCUUGUCUGAGGUUCAUUUAAAAUGGGGCAGAGGCCCCAGGCCUUCUAACUCUCCAUCCAGUUCUCUGUAGUAGCCCUUCCUACCCCAGCUUUGGUACUGAUGUCAACCCCAGUGUUUCCUCAUUUACUGAGCAUGUGUGACUUUCAAAAGGCUCUGUUACUCUCUUGAUUUCUGUGAGGAGCGAGAUAGCCAUGACUUUACCCUGACCAUGUGACUGGAAACAUACUGAAUAUUAUUGGAUGGAGAAGUUCACAGUGUUUCACAAACACAUGACAAGUUAUUGUUAACAUUAUAUGAAUGGGAGGUGGCAGGUCAAGUAAGGCCAGAGAAGCAUUCAAGCUGACACCUUGUUCAUGAAUUUAAUCUCUUAUGAGAACAGCUAGAAUGAUCAUAGUGGCCAGUUUGGUAGCCUGAUCAUUUUGGUCAUAUGCAGAAAUGUUCUCAAUGGACUUUGAGAGUUAGAAUUAGUUGGUAUACAGGCUCCUCCUUGGAAAUGUACACACCAAGCAAUUGAGAAAAGCUGGAAAUGCACCUGUCUCAAGUCUCAUUGAAAAUUCCUUUAGGUAUCAUACUCCAAAAGAUUACAUGGAAUUGAACAUUUUUGAAAUAAGGACAGGACUAAUAGACUUUCUUAAGUGGAAAUCUCUCGUCUUUUUUUCCCCUGGUACUUUGAAAACUUAAAAUAAACAUCGUUUCCAGUAUUUGAUGGUUUAUUUACUAACUACCUGUUUGGAGGAAAUGUCAUAUUGUCUCAGAACAAUGGAAGCUCUGCUCACAAGAGAGCAAGGAGAGGGGGUGGUUUUCAGUAGUCAGUUGGGAUAGACCCAGUUUGGCUCACAUUUUUUGCAUCUCUGAGUUCAGAUGAAAAGGAUAGUGAGUGGCACUGCAGAAAACCCAAGAAAACUGGAAAUAGAAAAUGGCAAUUUUGAAACUAAAGCAAUUAAACUAGUGCCCCAUUUGAACAUGCUCAGUGACUUGGCUUAGAACUGUUAGUCAAGAAGAAUGUAUUAAAUGCUGUAUUUGUAAAGACGUCUUCCCUAGUUGAUAGAUUCUCUGCCCUUCAUUGGCUUUUGGAGAAUCAGCUCAAGGGUAAAAGGGUAUAGGAUAGAAGGAGCAAAUGGGCCAGAUGUUUGUGGUCAUUUCCUUCCAUUUCCAGCCAGACAUAGCUGAUUGAUCAUGGUGCCUCUUCUCACUAAACACAGGCAUGUUUGCAACAUCAUUCUCUAUUGGAAUUGGCACAUGAAACUUAUAUACCAUCCUUGAUAAAUGACAUUGUUUUUUUCUGUUGAUGUAGUCCCAAUUUUACCCAUAUUAACUUUUAAAAAAAAAGAUUGUCUUAUCUUAGUAGAAAUAUCUAAGCUCAGCUGAAGAAAUAGAUUCUAUAAAUACCCUUACAACCUAAACGCUAAUUUUAUCCCUAGAUGAGUUGAGAUGUGCACCUGAAUUUGUCUCUUGCAUCUGAAUCAGGGCCAAUUGCUAAGCUCUAUUAACAGAAGUAUGUAAUUAAGAUAAAGGGCAGGAGCAGGACAGCCAGUCCUAAAAUUAGCUCUUGCCUUGAUGUUCCCCAGGUGCAAGUGCACACAGCCUUGGUCCUUUCAUUCUGGAUGCACCCGAUUUCCUUUUCAAGAUGUGUGCAGGCCUUACCAGGAUUUCCAAAAGCUUGGUUCUGGCUCAGGUUGGGAAGCUGAGAUUGUUUUCUCCUGUGGGUUGUUAUUCGUGUUUGAAAUGUCGUCUGGCACCUUAGAAGCUUUUUGCGUAAAUAUUCUUUAAGAUAGGUGUCACAUUAUUUAUGUUUAGCUUGUGAUAGUCCAACGGUCUUCUUACAAGCUGUUUCUGGACUGGUACUUUGAGAAUAAUGUAAUUUUUAUCAGCUGUCCAUUCUUUACAAUGAAGGUAAGUAGUGCAAUUAAGGAAGGGAUUUUUUUUUUUUUUUUUUGAGACAGAGUCUAACUCUGUUGCCCAGGCUGGAGUACAGUGGCAUGAUCUCAGUUCACUGUAACCUCCACUUCCCAGGUUCAAGUGAUUUUCCUGCCUCAGUUUCCAGAGUAGCUGGGACUACAGGUAUACGCCACCAUGUUCGGCUAAAUUUUUACAUUUUUAGUAGAGACGGGGUUUUGCCAUGUUGGCCAGACUGGUCUCGAACUCCUGACCUCAAGUGAUCCGCCUCGAUCUCCCAAAGUGCUGGGAUUACAGGCGUGAGCUACCGCGCCUGGCCUAAAGAAGGGAUUUUAAGCCUACCUGUCAAGGGAUACCAGUAUAGCUACACAUUUCACUCAUGUGACUUUGGGAGGGAAGAGCUUGAACUCUGCUAUUCCUAAUGUGCAUCCUUGGGCAAGGCAUGCACCUUGUCAUGUGCUCUAGUAUCCUAGAUGAAAUGGAGAUGGCAUCAGUACCGACCCCUCAGGGUUGGUAUAAGGAUUAAAUCAAAGACAUAACAGACAUUUGUAAGUCAACGAACACAGUGCUUGGCAUAUGAAGCUAAGAUGUAGGUAACUGCACAUUAGAGGUGGGAGGCCAGGGUAGGAACUAGGGUGAGGCAGGCGAGCCACUUACCUUGGGUGCAAAAUUUAAGAGGCACCAAAACCCUCAAGAAUUAAGAAUUAAUGCAAUACUUUCACUUCUUCCUUCCUGCCUGCCUGCUUUUCUUUCCUUUCUUUUUUAAGGCAGAGUCUUACUCUGUCACCCAGGCUGGAGUGCAAUGGCAUGAUCCCCACACACUGCAACCUCUGCCUCCUGGGCCCAAGCAAUUCGGGACUACAGGUGAGUACCACCAUGCCCAGCUAAUUUUGCAUUUUUUGUAGGGAUGGGGUUUCCCCACAUUGCCCAGGCUAGUCUCAAACUCUUGGGCUCAAGCAAUCUGCCUGCCUUGGCCUCCCAAUGUAUUGAGAUUACAGUCAUGAGCCACUGCUCCCGACUACAGUACUUUUAAAAAUAAAAAUUAGUGUGGUAAAGUCCAUCACGAAUUACAUAUCAAAACUGUAAAUAAAUUCAAGGACUGCCCCUGCACUUGCAUGCCCCUGCCUCCUAGUGUUAUAAGGACAAAAUAAGACCAUGAAUCUGAAAACGGGUUGAAGAUAUAAGUGUAAGUUAUUAUCUGAACACAUUGUUAAAAGCUUAAAAAAUGAACAAAACAAAAAACCUCUCAGCUUUUCAGAGCCUAUUUGGGGCUCAAGACAUUCCAAUCAAGUAUGAAAACAAAGUCAGUAAGUACCAGGAAACAUUCAGGGACCCCUACAAGUUACUCAAAUCUACACUUGUCCCGAAAUUCAGGAUAUCCAUUUGUGUUGGUGACAUCCUAUUUUUUUUCAUUCAACACAGAAGCCAGAGUGGUCAGCUAUUUUUGAGGUGAAAGUUAAAGCAGGCAUAACUGUGCUGUUGACAAUGUUGGCGACUGGCCCCAGUGAAGGGGGUUAUGCAGACAAUACCCCUAAGUACAGUGGCAGAUUGGGAGGGUGGAGGUCUCUCCUCAGUCACAUCACUCCAGAUGAGCCAUCAGCGGCUGCAAGGCAAGAUUUCUACUAACAACGUAGAGAUGUGCCACUUCCAGGAAUCUACCUACAAAUGAGGGCAAAACCAGAGUUAACCUACCAUAGCAGAAACACAACAAAGAACACAAUGAGAUACAGUGAAAGGGAGUCUAACCUCUAGAAACCAUAAUCAGAUCAGCCUGUAGUUUUUCCUUGAGUUGUAAUUAGCAGCUGUUGUUCAGUUCAAGCACUAAGAUGAGCCCAGCUGUCUCAUUCUGAGGACAAUCAACAGUCCAAGAGCAAAAACAUGGCACAGCUUCUAUCAUUAUAAUUAGAAAGAACUCAUUUUUAAGAAUUAUCACACCUAAUAUGAAAUAUUUUGUCCUCAAACUUUUCCUAUUCUAUUUUUUAUCACCACCCCCACCCACUGACUUAUUAACAAUAUUUUUAUGCCCUGAUUCCCUGAAGACAGUUAACAGACCAUUUUAAAAAUAUAUUUUCUCAUUCGACCCUUACUCAAUUCUGGGAGAUAUGCCUGGUAAGGAUUAGUCUCCCCAUCUGACAGCUGACUUAACUAAGGCUCAGAAAGAUGCAGACAACUGCCUGUAAUCCUCAAGUUAAUAAGUCGAAGGACAGAGCCAAGAACCUAGGUUUGCUCAGUUUUAUACCAACGCUCCAUCACAAAAUUACACAUUUAAAAUGCUUCCUAUGCAGACACUAUUCAAAGCACUGUCACUGCCUUUAUAUAACCAGUAAGCCUCAAACAUGGAAGAUUUUAAGAGGAUUUAUAUAGAAAUAAUGUAAAACAUACAUUCAAACAGGUAGAGAGUGAAGAUGGGAAGGAUAUUUGACCACAUUCUCAGCUCAGUGUUUUUAAAUUCUGGCUGCACGCUAGACUUGUCCAAUGAACUUUUUAGAAGUUCUGUACUCCAUUCCCAUAAAUUUUGAUUUAAUCAGUGAAGCAUGAGGCAUUGGUAUUUUUUUAUAUCUUCCCACAUGAGUCUAAUGUAAUGCUACUGUGGAGAACCACUGCUAUAGGUCAAAGAUUAGUAUAAACAGUACAUGAGCCAGGAGUGGUACGUGAGAUGAAUUUGUAAU
rnacentral:lncRNA from 1 species